ACGCAGCUCUAAGAGCAUUAGCUCUGACGGAGCUGAGCACUCGUUGAAUACACGACGUACACAAACGCAGCCCAGACUCAAUUUUCCAGGAGCAAUUCCAUGUUUCAGCCACCAGUUCUGUAAUCUGUUCAGGGCUGGGCACGAGGGGAAAUUGUCUCUAGUGAAGACAGAUGUGAAGAGAUGUUAAACCAUGCUUUCAUCUCCUGUUUUCCACAGAUGUGGUCCUGGCUUGGAAGAGUCUUCAGAAAGCCAAAGAAGUGGUACGUGUGGUCCAGGGGGACCAUUACCUGUCACAAAGCUUUAUUGCUCCCUGCCAGCUCCCCAUGUGUUCCCUCAGUGGAUUUUUUUUUUUUUUUUUUUUUUUUUUUUUAUGGAGAUAGUGUAGCUGAAAGCAGGAGAAACGUGCCGUUUUGUUUUCCUUUUGCAACAAACAUACAACCUCUUUAACCAUUCACCAACUGACCAAAAGGGAUAAGGAGAAAAGCAAGGAGCCUUACAAAAUUGCACAAAACUCUUGGAAAGAAAUGAGGACAGGUAAAGGUUUGCCUUGCUUGUGUCUGAAGCCCUGAGCAGAACAAUAGCUGACUCCCACUGAGCCAGGACAUCCUCUGGUUUCUCCCUGUCUUAUUGUCCUCUUAGUAGGAGACACAAUAAAAUUUACAUCAGGCACACUCAGAUGCAAUCAUAACCCUGAAGUUACGUGGACGAGCAGAGAAUAUUACCCAAACACAGUGUCGCUUGCACGGCCUGAUGCUCGUACUGUGCUGCUGAAGUCGCUGUUGGCUUGAGCUGCUUUGAGCUCAAGACAUUUUUAGAAACCCUUAGAAGGGCCCUGGUAAAAACCUUAGGCACAAAUACAUGCAAAGUGUAAAUAAUGGGGAGAGAGGUGAUUUCAUCUCUUAUCUUCCCAGUCAAUUGCAUUCUUUCCAGCCCUAGGAAAUAGCACCUGGAACAUGCUCAGACAUGCCAGUAUUUACAGAGUAACUAGGAGCUGCAAAAUUAAUCAGAGAAGCAGUGUGUGCCAGCAAAAGGCUACCAUGAAAAAAAACAUAUGUCUCCCUUCAAAGGAAAAAUCUGCCUUUUCACAGCUACAAAGGAUUGAAAACAAAUUGUAUCAUCAAACGUGGAGCCGUGCCAAAUUGCAGACAGCCAGAAGAAAGCUUUGGUGUGAAAAAAGCUUUGAUGGGGAGAGAAGCAGAGAUGAAACAGCUUUGAUUGAGAAAAAGAGCAAUGAGGUUCCCUUGUCCUGCAGGUAAUGUUCAUUAACAUUAAUGUUCAGCGCUUGGGGGAUGGAGAGGCAAUGGCACACAAAAAGGGAUUUAAAAUUCUAGGAUGCAGGACCUCAGAAUAAAGUUAAGCAUCAUUUCA
rnacentral:lncRNA from 1 species